rnacentral:rRNA from 1 species
CCUACGGGGCGCUGCAGUGAGGAAUAUUGGUCAAUGGACGCAAGUCUGAACCAGCCAUGCCGCGUGCAGGAAGACGGCUCUCUGAGUUGUAAACUGCUUUUGUACGAGGGUAAACGCAGAUAAGCGUAUCUGUCUGAUAGUAUCGUACGAAUAAGGAUCGGCUCACUCCGUUACAGCAGCCGCGGUAAUACGGAGGAUUCAAGCGUUAUCCGGAUUUAUUGGGUUUAAAUGGGUGCGGAGGCGGUCGGAUAAGUUAGAGGUGAAAUCCAGAGGCUCAACUUCGGAAGUGCCUCUGAUACUGUGCGGCUAGAGAGUAGUUGCGGUAGGCGGAAUGUAAGGUGUAGCGGUGAAAUGCGUAGAGAUCAUACAGAACACCGAUUGCGAAGGCAGCUUACCAGGCUACUUCUGACGUUGAGGCACGAGAGCGUGGGGAGCAAACAGGAUUAGAUACCCCAGUAGUC